rnacentral:rRNA from 1 species
AAGUAGAGUGAUCGAAAGAUGAAAAGCACUUUGAAAAGAGAGUUAAACAGUAUGUGAAAUUGUUGAAAGGGAAGCGCUUGCGACCAGACUUGGGGGUGGCGGUUCCCCCGGUCUUCUGACCGGGCUACUCCGCCACGUCCAGGCCAGCAUCGGUUCGGGUGGCCGGUAAAAGGCCCCGGGAAUGUAUCUACCUCCGGGUCGACUUAUAGCCCGGGGCGCAAUGCGGCCCACCCGGACCGAGGAACGCGCUCCGGCUCGGAUGCUGGCGUAAUGGUCGCAAGCGGCCCGUCUUGAAACACGGAUCAAGGAGUCUAACAUCUAUGCAAGUGUUGGGGUGCCAAACCCCGGCGCGCAAUGAAAGUGAAGGGAGGUAAGAGCCCCGCCCGGGGCGCAUUAUCGACCGAUCCUGAUGUCUUCGGAUGGAUUUGAGUAAGAGCAUGGCUGUUGGGACCCGAAAGGUAAGCUCUCCCCCCCAGAACCCUCCCCCGGAAGAUAAGGUAAUGCUAACGAAUUUCUCCCUGACAGAUGGUGAACUUACCCGAAUAGGGUGAAGCCAGAGGAAACUCUGGUGGAGGCUCGCAGCGGUUCUGACGUGCAAAUCGAUCGUCAUAGGGGCGAAAGUAAGCAUCCCCAUUCUUUAGUUUACUGGUUGGAUAAUCUCGCGGGAAUCAGAGGCUAAUU